UACGUAGGGUGCGAGCGUUAAUCGGAAUUACUGGGCGUAAAGCGUGCGCAGGCGGUUUUGUAAGCCAGAUGUGAAAUCCCCGGGCUCAACCUGGGAAUGGCAUUUGGGACUGCAAGGCUUGAGUGCGGCAGAGGAGACUGGAAUUCCUGGUGUAGCAGUGAAAUGCGUAGAUAUCAGGAGGAAUACCGAUGGCGAAGGCGACAUCCUGGACCGGUAUUGACGCUGAGGCGCGAAAGCCAGGGGAGCAAACGGG
rnacentral:rRNA from 1 species